rnacentral:rRNA from 1 species
GAUGAACGCUGGCGGCGUGCCUAACACAUGCAAGUCGAGCGAACAGAUGAGGAGCUUGCUCCUCUGACGUUAGCGGCGGACGGGUGAGUAACACGUGGAUAACCUACCUAUAAGACUGGGAUAACUUCGGGAAACCGGAGCUAAUACCGGAUAAUAUAUUGAACCGCAUGGUUCAAUAGUGAAAGACGGUUUUGCUGUCACUUAUAGAUGGAUCCGCGCCGCAUUAGCUAGUUGGUAAGGUAACGGCUUACCAAGGCAACGAUGCGUAGCCGACCUGAGAGGGUGAUCGGCCACACUGGAACUGAGACACGGUCCAGACUCCUACGGGAGGCAGCAGUAGGGAAUCUUCCGCAAUGGGCGAAAGCGUGACGGAGCAACGCCGCGUGAGUGAUGAAGGUCUUCGGAUCGUAAAACUCUGUUAUUAGGGAAGAACAAAUGUGUAAGUAACUAUGCACGUCUUGACGGUACCUAAUCAGAAAGCCACGGCUAACUACGUG